rnacentral:rRNA from 1 species
CGGUAAUUCCAGCUCCAAUAGCGUAUACUAAAGUUGUUGCAGUUAAAAAGCUCGUAGUUGGAUUUCUGCGGGGACGGAGCGGCCGGUCGCAACUUGCGACUCGAGCUAGCGCUUUCCCCGCAUCCUGCCGCGAACCGUGCUACCAUUAGCUUGGUGGCGCUGGGGAUCGGCUCGAUUACUUUGAGAAAAAUAGAGUGUUCAAAGCAGGCCACACGCCUUGAAUAAGUUAGCAUGGAAUAAUGACUAAGGACUUCGGUUCUAUUUUGUUGGUGUUCGGGACUGAAGUAAUGAUUGAUAGGGACAGUUGGGGCGGUCUGUAUUCCAAAGCGAGGGGUGAAAUUCUUAGACCUUCGGAAGACAAACAGCUGCGAAAGCGUUCCGCAAGGAUGUUCCCUUUGAUCAAGAACGAAAGUUGGGGGAUCGAAGACGAUCAGAUACCGUCGUAGUCUCAACUAUAAACUAUACCAGCUAGGGAUCGGUCAACGUUUAAUCAUUCGACUUGAUCGGCACCUUAUGAGAAAUCAAAGCAUCUGGGUUCCGGGGGGAGUAUGGUCGCAAGGCUGAAACUUAAAGGAAUUGACGGAAGGGCACCACCAGCCGUGGAGCCUGUGGCUUAGUUUGACUCAACACGGGAAAACUUACCAGGUCCAGACAUAGUAAGGAUUGACAGAUUGAUAGCUCUUUCUUGAUUCUGUGGGUGGUGGUGCAUGGCCGUUCUUAGUUGGUGGAGUGAUUUGUCUGGUUAAUUCCGUUAACGAACGAGACCCCAGCCUGCUAAAUAGCGCGGCUGAGCUUUGCUCGGUGCGAGCUUCUUAGAGGGACUAUGAUGCGCGAUAGCACAUGGAAGUUUGGGGCAAUAACAGGUCUGUGAUGCCCUUAGAUGUUCUGGGCCGCACACGGGCUACACUGGCGCCUGCAACGAGCAUAUCAGCUGGCCCGAGAGGGUCUUGGCUAAUCUUUUGAACCGGCGCCGUGCUUGGGAUUGACCAUUGCAAUUGUUGGUCAUGCAACGAGGAAUGCCUUGUAAACGCGAGUCAUCAGCUCGCAUUGAAUACGUCCCUGCCCUUUGUACACACCGCCC